rnacentral:rRNA from 1 species
ACGGCUCAGUAACACGUGGAUAACCUACCCUCAGGUGGGGGAUAACCCCGGGAAACUGGGGAUAAUACCCCAUAGACCAGGGACGCUGGAAUGCCCCUUGAUCGAAAGGUCCGCCGCCUGAGGAUGGGUCUGCGGCCGAUUAGGUUGUUGUUGGGGUAACGGCCCAACAAGCCUUUGAUCGGUACGGGUUGUGAGAGCAAGAGCCCGGAGAUGGAUUCUGAGACACAAAUCCAGGCCCUACGGGGCGCAGCAGGCGCGAAAACUUUACAAUGCGAGAAAUCGUGAUAAGGGAACCCCGAGUGCCCGUAAAUUCGGGCUGUCCAUCAGCGUAAAAAACUGGUGAAGAAAGGGCCGGGCAAGACCGGUGCCAGCCGCCGCGGUAAUACCGGCGGCUCGAGUGGUGGCCACUAUUACUGGGCUUAAAGCGUCCGUAGCUGGAUUGUUAAGUCUCUUGGGAAAUCCGCCGGCUUAACCGGCGGGCGUUCAGGAGAAACUGGCAAUCUAGGGACCGGGAGAGGUGAGAGGUACUCCAGGGGUAGGAGUGAAAUCCUGUAAUCCUUGGGGGACCACCUGUGGCGAAGGCGUCUCACUAGAACGGCUCCGACAGUGAGGGACGAAAGCUGGGGGAGCAAACCGGAUUAGAUACCCGGGUAGUCCCAGCUGUAAACGAUGCGCGUUAGGUGUAUCGGUGACCACGAGUCAUCGAGGUGCCGAAGGGAAACCGUGAAACGUGCCGCCUGGGAAGUACGGUCGCAAGGCUGAAACUUAAAGGAAUUGGCGGGGGAGCAC